CCCUAUGGGGUGCAGCAGGCGCGAAAACUUGGCAAUGCGAGAAAUCGUGACCAGGGAACUCCAAGUGCAUCGGGUAAGACCGGUGCUUUUCUUGACUCUAAAUAGGUCUUGGAAUAAGGGGUGGGUAAGGACGGUGCCAGCCGCCGCGGUAAUACCGGCGCCUCAAGUGGUAGUCGCUUUUAUUGGGCCUAAAACGUCCGUAGCCGGUCUGAUACAUUCGUGGGUAAAUCAACCAGCUCAACUGGUUGAAUUCUGCGAGGACGGUCAGACUUGGGACCGGGAGAGGUGUGGGGUACGCUCAGGGUAGGGGUAAAAUCCUGUCAUCCUGAGCGGACCACCUGUUGCGAAGGCGCCACACUAGAACGGAUCCGACGGUCAGGGACGAAGCCUAGGGGCACGAACCGGAUUAGAUACCCGGGUAGUCCUAGGUGUAAACACUGUGGACUUGAUGUUGGGGGUGCUCCGAGCACUCUCAGUGUCGAAGCGAAGGUGAUAAGUCCACUGCCUGGGAAGUACGGUCGCAAGGCUGAAACUUAAAGGAAUUGGCGGGGGAGCACCGCAACCUGAGAUUGUGCGGUUUAAUUGGAUUCAACGCCCGGAAAACUCACCAUAGCCGACGACAAAUGAAGUCAGUGUAACGACUACGAUGUCGAGAGAGUGCAUGGC
rnacentral:rRNA from 1 species